AAUAUUGUCAUGUCGUGCAGGUGAGAAGCUGCGCUCAGGUUCGAGUCGAGCGGAGCGAGACAACAGCGCAUCGCGCUGGCCCGAAGGGCGAAGCCGUAGGCUGAGUCAUCCUGCACGACCCACCA
rnacentral:sRNA from 1 species